UCUGAGCAUCCUGGCCCUCCUG
rnacentral:piRNA from 1 species